GAUGAACGCUGGCGGCGUGCCUAAUACAUGCAAGUCGAGCGAACAGACGAGGAGCUUGCUCCUCUGACGUUAGCGGCGGACGGGUGAGUAACACGUGGAUAACCUACCUAUAAGACUGGGAUAACUUCGGGAAACCGGAGCUAAUACCGGAUAAUAUAUUGAACCGCAUGGUUCAAUAGUGAAAGACGGUUUUGCUGUCACUUAUAGAUGGAUCCGCGCCGCAUUAGCUAGUUGGUAAGGUAACGGCUUACCAAGGCAACGAUGCGUAGCCGACCUGAGAGGGUGGUCGGCCACACUGGAACUGAGACACGGUCAAGACUCCUACGGGAGGCAGCAGUAGGGAAUCUUCCGCAAUGGGCGAAAGCCUGACGGAGCAACGCCGCGUGAGUGAUGAAGGUCUUCGGAUCGUAAAACUCUGUUAUUAGGGAAGAACAAAUGUGUAAGUAACUAUGCACGUCUUGACGGUACCUAAUCAGAAAGCCACGGCUAACUACGUG
rnacentral:rRNA from 1 species